GCGGGUAGGAGAGUUUGACUUUGCCACCCUAAACCGUGCUCGACAUUUAUUUUGAACUGAGUUCUACAAAUCAAGACGCCGGCUUUGACUCCAAGUCGGUGCACGUCUGGUUCCUGCAGAUGUCAUAAGCGGAUACUGGAUUCCCCCCUGGAACUGAAGUAACGGAUGAUUGCGAAUCACCAGGUGGAUGUCUGGAACUGAACCUGGGUCUUCUGCCAGAGUAACAAGUGUACUUAAGAUCUGAGCCGUCUCGUCUCUAAGGCCCACGAUCAUUGUUCUUCAAAGCUCCUGUUAUCAACAGAACAAAAAAAAAAAUAAGUCUUUCUGUCACUCUGACCCCUGUCUCAUUUUGUCUCAGAGGUUUCGAUCUUAUGGCAGACUGUCAGAAGUUCUAAGUUUUGGUGUGCUAUAGAAGUACUCCAUAGCAUAACUGGUUCACAUAAAAAAAUUAAUUAAAGAGGAAAUAUGCCACAACCU
rnacentral:lncRNA from 1 species